rnacentral:rRNA from 1 species
CCUACGGGUGGCAGCAGUGAGGAAUAUUGGUCAAUGGCCGGAAGGCUUAACCAGCAAUGCCGCGUGAAUGUCAGUGCCCUAUGGGCGUUAAACUUCUUUUGUUCGGGACCAAUAAUGUUCACGUGUGGCCAGACUAGACUACCGUACGAAUAAGCAUCGGCUAACUCCGUGCCAGCAGCCGCGGUAAUACGGUGGAUGCAAGCGUUCUCCGGAUUUAUUGGGUUUGAAGGGUGCGUAGGCUGUGAAGUAAGUCAGCGGUGAAAUGCCCCCUGUCAACGGGGUGAAGUGCCAUUGAUACUGCCUUGCUGGAAUGCGGAUGAGGUGGGAGGAAUGUGUGGUGUAGCGGUGGAAUGCAUAGAUAUUACACAGAACACCGAUUGCGAAGGCAUCUCACGAAUCCGCGAUUGACGCUGAUGCACGAAAGUGUGGGUAGCAAACAGGAUUAGAUACCCCUGUAGUC